CUGAAGAGUGACACUGGAAAUGCUGCAGAAAGAAGAUGCUGUGCCUGUCACUAUCAGGAGCCCACACAUUCCAGGCUUAUCCCUGCCAACCCUAGCUGUCCUGCAUCUCAUGUAGCCCCCCCAGCUGCAUUCAUCUGCUGUCCUUUG